CACGUAGGGUGCGAGCGUUGUCCGGAAUUAUUGGCGUAAAGAGCUCGUAGGCGGUGUGUCGCGUCGGCCGUGAAAACCGCGCUCAACUGUGGGCUUGCAGUCGAUACGGGCAGGCUGGAGUUCGGUAGGGGAGACGUGGAAUUCCUGGUGUAGCGGUGAAAUGCGCAGAUAUCAGGAGGAACACCGGUGGCGAAGGCGGGUCUCCUGGGCCGAUGACUGACGCUGGAG
rnacentral:rRNA from 1 species